rnacentral:tRNA from 1 species
GCCUAGUUAGCUUAGUUGGUAGUGCGUCUGCCUUGUAAGCGCUAGGCCGCGGGUUCGAUUCCCGCCCGUGGCC